rnacentral:lncRNA from 1 species
UAGCUUCCAAGUAAGGGAUCGUUUUCCUCUUCUCAGACUCCAGACUCCAGAAGGUGAUUUUCUCCCCCUCGAGCUGGAUUGCAGGACAGGGCCUCCACACCCACUGUGGUUUCCCGGCCUGCCCUCAUGCUUUGUGUUGUGAAGACCGCCUGGGACUACCGGGCAGGGUGUAGUAGGCACCAUGGGGGAAGUGGGAGACAGGACACUGUGGGUGGAGGUGUCAGGAAUGGGAACCAGCCCUUGGGUGGGGAGGGCUGGCUGGGUCUGAGUUUCUCCUACUCAGGCUCCCCAAGGAGGGCAGCCUUGGGGGGCCCAGCAAUUCCUGGCCAGCUGGACUUGGCC